AUGGAGCCCUACUCGAGGGACCUGCUGCGCGGCACCGGCGGUGGAGACGACGGCGAUGAGAAGGUGCAGCGCUUGGAUUCGCGGACCGAGGACGUGGACCUUACCCUCGGGCUGUCGCUCGGUGCCGGGGAUCGGUUCGACUUCGGCGCGGAGAGGGGGAGCGGCAGCGGCGAGGGGCUCCUCGUCGGUCGCGCUGAUCCAGGAGGUGGCGCCUCAGCGACCCUGCGGCCGCAGGGGAGUGGUAACAGCAUCAAGGAGGAGCCCGCGGCACAAGGAACUCCUGGCGCUCAAGGGCGGAGCCUGUCAUCAGCUAUUGUGUCCUCCUCUCAGGGUACAGAUGGUGUGCACCAGGCCGAGGGUGCUAACAACACCAUCAUGGCAACCACUUCUUCUCCGGCACCAGCGGUAAUAGAGGCAGCCCUUGGUUCUGGGGGAGGGCAACAAGAUGAUUCAGAGAUGUCGAAGGUGCGGGAGAUUCCAUUGGUGUCGACCAGCGGGCUCCCCAAUGGCAGGAGGAUUGUAGGCUUGCUGUACGAGUACAGUAAAGUUGAUGAGGUGACGAUUUUGUGUAUGUGCCAUGGUAGCUUCCUAACUCCGGCGGAGUUUGUGGAGCAUGCUGGAGGCGGUCAAGUCGCCAACCCGCUGGGGAGCAUCUUCGUCAUGCCCCCGCCUUGGCUUUGA
rnacentral:rRNA from 1 species